rnacentral:rRNA from 1 species
GACGAACGCUGGCGGCGUGCUUAACACAUGCAAGUCGAACGGAAAGGCCCUGCUUUUGUGGGGUGCUCGUUUGCCGAACGGGUGAGUAACACGCGUGUAACCUGCCCUUGACUUUGGGAUAUCUUCUGGAAACUGGGGCUAUUACCGGAUAGGAUCUUCUGCUGCACGUUGGUGGUUGGAAAGUGUCGGCGGUUGGGGAUCGAUGCGAGGCUUAUCCGCUUGUUGGGGGGGUAGUGGCUUACGAGGGUUAUGACGGAUAGCCGGCCUGAGAGGGUGACCGGGCACAUGGGGACUGAGAUACGGACCAGACGGCUACGGGAGGCAGCAGUGGGGAGUAUUACGCAAUAGGCGGGAGCCUGAUGCGGCAGCGCUGGGUGCGGGAUGACGGGCUUCGGGUGAUGAACCGAUUUCGCCUGUGCCGAAGCGUGAGUGACGGUAAUGGAUAAAGAAGCACCGGCUAACUACGUG